rnacentral:rRNA from 1 species
GAUGAACGCUGGCGGCGUGCCUAAUACAUGCAAGUCGAGCGAACAGACGAGGAGCUUGCUCCUCUGACGUUAGCGGCGGACGGGUGAGUAACACGUGGAUAACCUACUUAUAAGACUGGGAUAACUUCGGGAAACCGGAGCUAAUACCGGAUCAUAUAUUGAACCGCAUGGUUCAAUAGUGCAAGACGCUUUUGCUGUCACUUAUAGAUGGAUCCGCGCCGCAUUAGCUAGUUGGUAAGGUAACGCCUUACCAAGGCAACGAUGCGUAGCCGACCUGAGAGGGUGAUCGGCCACACUGGAACUGAGACACGGUCCAGACUCCUACGGGAGGCAGCAGUGGGGAAUAUUCCGCAAAGGGCGAAAGCCUGACGGAGCAACGCCGCGUGAGUGAUGAAGGUCUUCGGAUCGUAAAACUCUGUUAUUAGGGAAGAACAAAUGUGUAAGUAACUAUGCACGUCUUGACGGUACCUAAACAGAAAGCCACGGCUAACUACGUG